rnacentral:rRNA from 1 species
AUUGAACGCUGGCGGCAUGCCUUACACAUGCAAGUCGAACGGCAGCACGGGAGCAAUCCUGGUGGCGAGUGGCGAACGGGUGAGUAAUAUAUCGGAACGUGCCCAGUCGUGGGGAUAACGUAGCGAAAGCUACGCUAAUACCGCAUACGAUCUAUGGAUGAAAGCGGGGGAUCGCAAGACCUCGCGCGAUUGGAGCGGCCGAUAUCAGAUUAGGUAGUUGGUGAGGUAAAGGCUCGCCAAGCCGACGAUCUGUAGCUGGUCUGAGAGGACGACCAGCCACACUGGGACUGAGACACGGCCCAGACUCCUACGGGAGGCAGCAGUGGGGGAAUUUUUGGACAAUGGGCGCAAGCCUGAUCCAGCAAUGCCGCGUGCAGGAUGAAGGCC